GGGAUAAUUAAGCACCUAGCUGGAACGGGAACAAGGAACUCGAGCUGCGUCAUCGACUGUUUGGGAAUGCUUCCGCGUUGUCCACGCUCUGAAUCACAUGUGUAUUCCGUCUAAUGGAAACCACGACGUCACCGGAAGAGUGACAUCACGACCAGGAAGCUAUAAAAGUGCAUGGAUUAAAGCCGCACCAGCUUGUGUUUGUUCAUGAA